UUGUAAGUAAAACCAGUCAGUUUUGUCUCUUUUUAAGUCAUGCUAAAUCUUAUUUGUGUGCAACUUUCUCUGCCAGGGAGUAACAAGAGGAGGGUGGAAACCCAGAUGAUGAUGAUGAUCUUUUGGAAUGACUGGCUGAUGGAGGCGGAUGGCUGCUGCUCUUUCGCCAAAAUAAAAUACAAAAUGCUGCGCACUAUUUUGGGAAUUCUCAAAUGAUUGGCUCAGGAACCAGGAAGGAACACGGCCGGUGAGACUGGGACAAAUUUGAAUUUCUUGCAUGGACAACAUCCCACCGCUUGGCUUUUCUACCUCUCCGAUGAUUUAAUUCUUGCAUAGCGAGGACGCGUGAUCCUGCGGCUGCCUGUUCACCCUACAUACAACCUCUUUGUCGGAUACAUGGGAGUGUGGCAUCUUGCAGUCUCCUAUAUUUGGUUUAAUCUGAGUGUAUAGCUAUUGACAAGUUGAGCAGUAAAAGUUAGGAUUUAUACAGUUUUGGUGUUUUUCUUACCAGAUGCUGUAUCAUCAUUCCUGUGUUCAUAUCACUUUGAAAUGUUUUGUUGGUCAAUUUCAAAGUAAACAAACCAUUGCAAACUUUU